AUUGAACGCUGGCGGCAGGCCUAACACAUGCAAGUCGAGCGAGCGGCGGACGGGUGAGUAAUGCCUGGAAAUUGCACAGGCGAGGGGGAAAACAGUUGGAAAAGAGUGCUAAUCCCGCAUACGAUGGGAUUGGCCAUGUGGGAUUAGCUAGUUGGGGAGGUAAUGGCUCACCAAGGCGACGAUCCCGAGCUGGUCUGAGAGGAUGAUCAGCCCCACUGGAACUUAGACACGGUCCAGACUCCUACGGGAGGCAGCAUGGGGGAAUAUGGCACAAUGGGGGAAACCCUGAUGCAGCCAUGCCGCGUGUGUGAAGAAGGCCUUCGGGUUGUAAAGCACUUUCAGCGAGGAGGCGUUACUCGCAGAAGAAGCACCGGCUAACUCCGUGCCAGCAGCCGCGGUAAUAC
rnacentral:rRNA from 1 species